UUUUUUUGUUUUUUGUUUUGUGUUUUGUUUUUCCCCCACUUCUGGACCCGGAAGCCUGGUGAGUCUGAUCCCACUUCCACACUUCUUCCACACUGCCCUUGGCCUCUUGCAUUAGGGGCCCACUCCAUGCCUGGCAUGGGCUCUGUUCCCACCGUGGCGGGAACAGCUCAUUUUAGCCAGGCUUAUGUGAAAUGCUUUCACAUCUGCUGCUGCAUUUGGUGUGGGCAGAAGAGAAGGGGGUCACUCACGCGGGGCAAGUGGCUGUCAGGGGCCCCCACCACCCAAAGGCAGAGCCAGCACCGGUACCUGGAGUCUCUCUCCUUGUCCAGGGCUUUUGUGCCUUACCAGCUGGCAACCAUACCCAAUACAGCAGCCCUCUCCCAUACACAGCAUCAUUACUCUCAUUUUAUCAGAUUAAGAUUCGGAGGCUCAGAGAGGUUCCGUGAUAUGCCCAAGUCACACAGCUAGGAGAAGGCUGAGUCAAGGGUAAAUCCCUGGUCUCCUGGAUCUCAGUAUUACUGAGGUGAAAGAAGUACCGGCUAUCCGACUUAACCACUUUUUCUUCCUAGUAAAACAACUCUCCCAAUCCCUGAAAGAGAAGCUACAAAAAGGUUUGUAGAAUUUUGCCAAGCAUGAGUUUGCCGGUCAGAAUUCUGUAAUAGGCCCAUAAUCAUUUCAGACAUUGAAGUGCUUAGGAGGUAGACAUUCUGUGUACGGUGCCAGUUUAAAUUCUUAUUUUGCUUAACUGUAAAGAUCCUUUAAAAAGAAGCCCUGAGACAUACUUUUGCUUUAUUAAGCCCUCCACUUUCUGACAUGUCUUACUGUGUUUUAGAAAAAUUCAAAACAACAACACUUAAAAGCCCUCCCCCUCCCAAAUAUUUUCUUUCAUUUCCAAGAUACGGAGAUGCUGACAUGUGGGCGUGAAGCCUGGAGUAAGGCUUUGGUGUCUGACCUCCUCCAAAAAAGAAAAUGAAGACAUUUCUGGGUGUCCACACUUUCCCCAGGAAAGGACAGACCCGACAGUCUUGAACCCAGAUGAAAAGAAAGGUAAUUCAUUUCAAGCCUAAGAAACCGUCUUGGUGAUGGGGCAUGUUCUGGGACAAUUGAUUCCAUUUGUCAUUGGAAGUUUCAGAAAGGGUGAAAAUACUCUCUUUUUCUGCUCCCUGUUUUGGACACAGGAAAAAUAAGGCAGCAUUUGUUUCUUCCUUUAAAAUAAAAACAGCAGGGGCAGCCCUGGUGGCACAGCAGUUUAGCCGCCUGCAGCCCAGGGUGUGAUCCUGGAGACCCUGGAUUAAGUCCCGCGUCGGGCUCCCUGCAUGGAGCCUGCUUCUCCCUCUGCCUCUCUCUCUCUCUCUGUGUGUGUCUCUCAUAAAUAAAUAAAAUCUUAAAAUAAAAUAAAAUAAAAUAAAAUAAAAUAAAAUAAAAUAAAAUAAAAACAACAAGGGAUGCCUGGGUGGCUCAGCAGUUGAGCAUCUGCCUUUGGCUCAGGGCGUGAUCCCAGAAUCCAGGAUCAACUGAAGGCAGAUGCUCAACCCCUGAGCCACCCAAGUGCCCCCAACGUUUUCUAUAUGCAGAGAUAUGGAAAGGGCAAAGAUGAUAUUGCAGGGCCUGAAAUGAAACAGCAUGAAGAGGGGGCCCCUGUCAGACUGAGAGCCCCUGAGGAAGAACACAUGUAAAGGAAACUUGUGCCCUCAGAGUGCCUCCCCUGUGCCAGGCCCGUGCCAGCAUGUGUCCCACUCACGAUGCACAGCAGCCCAACCGAGCAGGUACUAUAGUUACUUCUGUUUCAUGGAAGAGAAGCCCAUGUGAGAGAUGUCGCCCUGCAGCUCUCCUGCUGGGUGAUCGUCCCCCUCCCCUCGGCCACCCAGUGCAGCAUCUGUGAGACAGUGAGAGCCCAGCUGCGAAAUCCCUCUCUGAGGGGAUCCUGCUUCCCUUGGCAUCUCCCACCACCUCAGCGACUCAGCAUCUAGUUAUCGACAAGGGGGAGGCAGCAGCCAGUGCAUUAAUCUCUGAGCCAGGUGUGCUCAGGGCCAAACACGAAUGGCAUGUCACCAGACUGAAAUAUAAGUUACUUCAAUUGUGCCUCACAUCCGCAGUGACGGGGAGGUGAGACAGGACCUCCUUCCACCCCCAACCCGGCCUGAGCUCUCAUGGCCUCUACCAGACAGUCGGUCCCCCUUGGGCUCACCAAGAAACAGCAGGCAGGAUGCAGACUCGUGAUCAUGUCACCAACCCUGCCUACUUGAAGGAACAGCCAAAGGGCACUGGGAUGGGACAAUCAGCCCAUCUGUACCAAAGAGCAAACGUCUUGUGGUUAUCAGGCAACGAUUCCAGUGGUAGCGGAUACCAGGUGCCCUCAAGGUGGAAUGGUUUUGGUGGGAAGCUUGGGCCAUUCGCUCCCACUAACUUGGGAGCCAGGUCCUUGCACUUGCAGGCUCACCCACCCCAUACAGUGCUCAAACGUCUCUGUCUGCUCAGCCUCGUGGCCGAUUUUCAGGGAAGCCCUGACUGUCUGACUCUGACUAAUACUACUACUACUAAUGAAAAGACUCUCCACACAUGAAAGAUGCUGGCCCAACUCUGGGGCAAUUUAAAAAAACACUGUUGCUAGUCCCACCUGACAGAUUGCAUCACCAGACCAUUCUCAGCCUCAUCAGGGAUCUCCCUCAGUCUCCUAUGUCCUUUUCCCCCAGCCCAAUGGCGGAGUAGUAGGAGUAGUAGGAGUCGUCAACCCAGCCCAAUGGUGUCAGUGGUCUUCUCUCUCUUGCUACUAGUGGGGCGCAGGGCAGGCAGGUGUUUCUAUAAUACUCUCCAAAGGUAACAUUCAUCUUAGCCCUUUGCACUGUGAAUACUCAACUGCUUCCAUCUUUUGUCCUAUGGUGAGAGCCUGGGGUAGGGUUAAGUAUAACAUGAGCCAGUCUCCUUGAGAAGAAACUCAGUGCUACAAGCACCACCCCUCCCACAUAGCACUGCUCGCUGACUUUUUUCAAUCAAAUGUCACAUUUUUGAUUCCCAUUUAUUCUCACAGCUUGGGCACAGUUGUAUUAAUUUGAUAUCAACAUGUCCCCACGUUGAUUGAAGUGCUGGCAGUGCCGGAGAGAGGUCUGCUUCCUCAUUCUCUCAUUCAGAGAAGGGACCUCCUGGUGCCAGAGUGUGAUCCAUUUAGUAGAGGAGGGAAGGAUUCCCUCCCAGAGCCGUGGACACCUGGGGCAGGCAGUCUGCCUGUGUUUUUCAUAGCAUAUGGCAGAGAAGGAAAGCUGCCAUGCUCUAAUACCACCUGUCCCUUCCCCCUACUCUUUCUCGUUUUCUUUUCAUGUGGGUCAUUUGUAGUCACAGUCCACUGACAAAAGGCAAAGAGCGAUGUCUGGCGGGACCACAGCACAGAGGUUCCUGCCAAUGGCUUCCUGGAGCCUGCUAUCCUGGUUCUUGGAGAUGAAGCUCAGGGCUGGAGUUCUAAAGCCCCAUUUCCAGGAUUAAGUAAUUGAUGCCCCAACAGUAUGGCCUAGAAGAAAGGCCUGUAUUGGUAAUUUCCAAAGGAAAUUUUGACUGGGAACAGUAUUAUCCAUUUAAGAGGCAUUUAGCCAUAUGUGGGGAUGGGGGCGGGGCGGUAUAUUUUUGGUUGUCACCACGACUUCUGACACUUAGUAGGCAAGGUAGGGAUAUUAAACUUCCUGCAUUAUUUAAGUAGGUCACACUUAAUCAAGAAUUGGCCCCAAAUGCCAACAGCUCCAUUGAGAAACACUAUUAAUUCCUAUAGAUGGGAAAAGUGGAAAAGUGAAGCCUGACAAGUUUAAUGACUUAUUCAAAGUCACAAAGAUUUUUUUUUUCUCUCCUGUCUCUCAACUCAGGAAGCUACCAUGGAACGUUUGCCCAAAGCACAGCAGGAAAACGUCAAGAGAUCAUCUCAAUGUUUCAACCCAAUUCCUACUAUGUCAAAGUCUGAGGCCAACAAUAUAUAGAGGCUCCUCAAAAACAUGUAAAGCAGACAAAAAAAGAAUAAUAAAAACAUUAGGAAGCACGAGGACUCUUCUUCUGGUCUUGGUCAAUCAUUGUGGCUGAAGGUCUAUCUUCUUUGGCUCCAAGGCUCCUCCUUGGCUUGUUGGCUCCAAGGAUGGGCAACUCUAUCAUCAUGCACACUCAACCGAAAGACCAAUGACCCCAAAGCCUGGGUUUCUCCAGCUGAAUUUCUGCCUCAGGGCCAUCCUGAUGUUACCGCUCUCUGGAGUCAGGAUGUCAACUGUUUGCCCACUGUCAAGAAGGUCCCUGAGAAUGGGUUGGGGAAGGGUCUUCCAUCUACAUUUAUUUGCCUGAUGCCACCACAUGCUGUUCUGUGAAACUGGUCCAUCACAGAUUUGAUUUCUCAAGACUGGCUAAACCUGAGAGCUGAUGGUUUAGUUGGUGGUUUGUAAGAUCAGAGGUGCCAGUCAAAGAAAGAGAAACCCUUUGGAAACAUGGGCUGUUUGCUCAGAGAUACUCAGAGAUUUUAUGUGAAUCCUCAGCACACCUUCCACUGCCCCUGGGUACAGAGUAUUUGCUGCCCGCAAAGGUCUCCAAGGCCUGCUCAGGACCCCGAAAUCCCUCCAAGUUCUUACUGGGAGAAGACAGAUGGCUGGACCUCUGGUCCCUGGUCUUGCACUGAUGUCUGCUUGGGGGUCGGGCCUCACUCCUGCUCCAGGCACAGUGAGGAAGAGCAGUAGCAUACUUCCUUGUAAUUUCUCUGCAGCUCCAAUGCAGCUGCCGAUGCAAUAGGGCAGUCAGUGAAUCUGCGGCAGUAGUGCUCAGCACUUGUUUCAGAGUGAAGAGGUGAGAUUUUCUCAUCAAUUUAAUCUCAGUAAUGAUGAGAAACUUCCCUCAGGCUCCAGCCCUGCCCUGCCAUGCCCUACCCUCCCUGCUGAUGUCGGCAGCUGGGGCCCCCUUCCUGGCCACGACACAGAUUUCUACAUGGAGGAGAAGAGGAGUGUUGAGCCUCCC
rnacentral:lncRNA from 1 species